rnacentral:tmRNA from 1 species
GGGGGCGACCUGGCUUCGACGUGGGUUGCGAAACCUGAAGUGCAUGCCGAGAAUGAGAAACUCUCGUAAAUCAGACUCACUAAACAUAAAUGCAAACGAUGAAAACUUUGCAGGUGAAGCUAUAGCAGCGUAAGCUCUUAUAGUUAAACCGCACCGCGUGCUGCCAUAAAACCAGCACCCCGUUGACCGAGCUCUCUUAUCGGUAUCGAAUCAACGGUCAUAGAAGAUAAGAUCGCAUCUUGAUAGGUCCCGCAUCAAGCUGUUAAAUCCAGGGAAUCGCCAUGUACCAUCCUGCCUAUCGGAGGGGCCAUGGUUAAAUUAAAUGACAAGGCUACGCAUGUAGAUCUGACGGCAGAGGAUUUGCGGACGCGGGUUCAAUCCCCGCCGCCUCCACCA